rnacentral:rRNA from 1 species
GAUGAACGCUAGCGGCAGGCUUAACACAUGCAAGUCGAGGGGCAGCGCGGGUAGCAAUACCUGGCGGCGACCGGCAAACGGGUGCGGAACACGUACGCAAUCUGCCCUUACCCGGAGCAUAGCCCGAAGAAAUUCGGAUUAACUCUCCAUAAGAUAGUAAAAUGGCAUCAUUUAGCUAUUAAAAAUUUAUUGGGUAAGGAUGAGCGUGCGUCCCAUUAGCUAGUUGGUAGGGUAACGGCCUACCAAGGCGACGAUGGGUAGCUGGUGUGAGAGCACGACCAGCCACACGGGCACUGAGACACGGGCCCGACUCCUACGGGAGGCAGCAGUGAGGAAUAUUGGUCAAUGGACGCAAGUCUGAACCAGCCAUGCCGCGUGAAGGAUGAAGGCCUUCUGGGUUGUAAACUCUUUUAUGUGGGAAGAAACCUCUGAUUUCUAUUAGAGUUUGACGGUACCAUAGGAAUAAGCACCGGCUAACUCCGUGCCAGCAGCCGCGGUAAU